rnacentral:lncRNA from 1 species
GUGACCGGUUUGUUCCUUUCCAAACCAUCUCAAAAAUAUCUCUUUUACAGGCACUGCUACCCGGUAGAGCUCCUGGUCCACAGAUCCCUCAGCAGAGAGUGUAAAAAGAUGGUAAAACAGCAUCUGCAUGCUUACAUCACUUCCAGUUGCAGUCUCCUCCAUGGCAAAUUGACAAGUAAUAGCAGCUGGUGACAAUAGCAGCAAAAGGACACGGAAGACUACUUUGUCCAAUGGCUUGCCAAAAUCAGAAGCCAACGACUGUGAAGCAGAUUUAACGGUGAAACAAAUUCAAUUCUACAGUCCUGCUGAAGCCAAAAUCCUGGAUAAAGAAACACAUGGGAUAUCUAGCAAUGGAAAAAAACGGAUUUAUUGAAUUGCCUUUGUGUGAUGAUCUACCUGGGAAGAACAGGAAUCAAAUUCAACUUACUCUUGGGACUAGGACAUUAAACUGAAGUGAAAUGAAAUGUGAUGAGCUUAAAAGACAGAAUCCACCAAGAUUACCAAUAUACAGACAUUAUGAAUAUAAUCCCAAACUGUGCAUCCCAAGAGACUAAUAAAAGAAAAGGUGGAAUAGAAAAUCAGUGAAUCACUUUUACAAGGUUGCUUGCCCACCAUCUCCUUCAUCAACUUAUCCCAAGAUGGAAGAAGAUGCCUGUUCAACAAACAGCUUCGCAAUCUAGACAAAUGGGAAUUCCUAUAAUAAAGGUAACUUCNUAUAAUGUCA